GACGAACGCUGGCGGCGUGCUUAACACAUGCAAGUCGAACGGAAAGGCCCUGCUUUUGUGGGGUGCUCGAGUGGCGAACGGGUGAGUAACACGUGAGUAACCUGCCCUUGACUUUGGGAUAACUUCAGGAAACUGGGGCUAAUACCGGAUAGGAGCUCCUGCUGCAUGGUGGGGGUUGGAAAGUUUCGGCGGUUGGGGAUGGACUCGCGGCUUAUCAGCUUGUUGGUGGGGUAGUGGCUUACCAAGGCUUUGACGGGUAGCCGGCCUGAGAGGGUGACCGGCCACAUUGGGACUGAGAUACGGCCCAGACUCCUACGGGAGGCAGCAGUGGGGAAUAUUGCACAAUGGGUGGAAGCCUGAUGCAGCAACGCCGCGUGCGGGAUGACGGCCUUCGGGUUGUAUACCGCUUUCGCCUGUGACGAAGCGUGAGUGACGGUAAUGGGUAAAGAAGCACCGGCUAACUACGUG
rnacentral:rRNA from 1 species